rnacentral:rRNA from 1 species
GCCGCGGUAAUACGUAGGUGGCAAGCGUUGUCCGGAUUUACUGGGUGUAAAGGGCGUGCAGCCGGAGAGACAAGUCAGAUGUGAAAUCCACGGGCUCAACCCGUGAACUGCAUUUGAAACUGUUUCCCUUGAGUGUCGGAGAGGUAAUCGGAAUUCCUAGUGUAGCGGUGAAAUGCGUAGAUAUUAGGAAGAACACCAGUGGCGAAGGCGGAUUACUGGACGAUAACUGACGGUGAGGCGCGAAAGCGUGGGGAGCAAACAGGA